rnacentral:rRNA from 1 species
UACGGAGGGGGCUAGCGUUGUCCGGAAUCACUGGGCGUAAAGGGCGCGUAGGCGGCUCGGUAAGUAGGGGGGUGAAAUCCUGCGGCUCAACCGCAGGGCUGCCUUCUAAACUGUCGAGCUCGAGCACGGUAGAGGCAGAUGGAAUUCCCGGUGUAGCGGUGGAAUGCGUAGAUAUCUGGAGGAAUACCGGUGGCGAAGGCGGCGAUCCUGGACCGGCAUUGACGCGUGAGGAGCGAAAGCCAGGGGAGCAAACGGG